rnacentral:rRNA from 1 species
AACGCUGAAAGCAUCUAAGUGUGAAGCCCACCUCAAGAUGAGAUUUCCCAUAGCAUAAGCUAGUAAGACCCCUUGAAGACUACAAGGUUGAUAGGUCAGAGGUGUAAGUGCGGUAACGUAUUUAGCUAACUGAUACUAAUAGGUCGAGGGCUUGACCAAUAUAA